GAUGAACGCUGACAGAAUGCUUAACACAUGCAAGUCGACUCGAGUCUUCGGACUUGGGUGGCGGACGGGUGAGUAACGCGUAAAGAACUUGCCUCAUAGCCUGGGACAACAUUUGGAAAUGGAUGCUAAUACCGGAUAUUAUACUUUCUUCGCAUGGAGGAAGUAUGAAAGCUAUAUGCGCUAUGAGAGAGCUUUGCGUCCCAUUAGCUAGUUGGUGAGGUAACGGCCCACCAAGGCGAUGAUGGGUAGCCGGCCUGAGAGGGUGAACGGCCACAAGGGGACUGAGACACGGCCCUUACUCCUACGGGAGGCAGCAGUGGGGAAUAUUGGACAAUGGACCAAAAGUCUGAUCCAGCAAUUCUGUGUGCACGAUGACGUUUUUCGGAAUGUAAAGUGCUUUCAGUCGGGAAGAAGCAAGUGACGGUACCGACAGAAGAAGCGACGGCUAAAUACGUGCCAGCAGCCGCGGUAAUACGUAUGUCGCAAGCGUUAUCCGGAUUUAUUGGGCGUAAAGCGCGUCUAGGCGGCAAGGAAAGUCUGAUGUGAAAAUGCGGGGCUCAACUCCGUAUUGCGUUGGAAACUGCCUUACUAGAGUACUGGAGAGGUAGGCGGAACUACAAGUGUAGAGGUGAAAUUCGUAGAUAUUUGUAGGAAUGCCGAUGGGGAAGCCAGCCUACUGGACAGAUACUGACGCUAAAGCGCGAAAGCGUGGGUAGCAAACAGG
rnacentral:rRNA from 1 species